rnacentral:lncRNA from 1 species
GACAUGGGUCAGUCUGACCUCAAAGUUUAUGUAGCUAAGGCUGGCCUUGAACUCGUGGUCUUUCUGCCUCCACAUCCCAAGUGCUGGAAUUACUGAUAUGUCACUGCACCUAGAAAUUCAUAUUCUUUGUAAUUAAUUAAGUCCCAGCUUUCUAGUGCUACUACUUGUCUUAAAUUAUUUAGAAAUUGUUCUUUGGAGGCUGAAGAGAAGGCUCAAAGAACGUUUGCUAUUCUUCCAGAAUAGCACCCACCCUGGGCAGCUCACAACACUCUGAUUCCAGUUCCAGGAGAUCCAGUUCCCUCUCUUGGCCUCCAAGGGCUCUAUAUUCAUUCAAAUACCCACACAAACACACACAUAAUUAAAAAGAAGAAGAAAGUAGUUAUAUUGGAGUGCUGCCCUAAACUUAAAAGACCUUUCAAAAAUCUUCAGUGUCUGUGAGCCAUUAUGAUCAAAAAAAUAUCAGAAUUGUACAUUAGAGAAAGAAACACAAUCACAGUCAUAGUUGCCAUUGUCCUGGCUCUCUCUUUGUGUGGGAAGGAGGUUGGGAGGAUGGGCAAGCACUCCUGGCCCUUCCUACCAAUGUGAUUAUAAAGGUAGCUGUCCUUUCGAUAUGCCUUACUUACUCCUUCUAGAGCUAGAAGGGAGUAGUUUCUCGUGUAACUAUCCACACUGCUUGUACUUGGGAAGUGCUGUGUGUACACCGCAGUAUUCACUGAGCACACUGUGAAGAACUACUGCUGCGCUGCCAAGGUGUGUGGCUAACAUUCAUGUCCUGCGUGUGAAGGUAGGAUCAUGUAUCAGAGCAGGGCUCUCUCUCCUCUCCGUCCAUUGCUUUUUACUUCCUAACCCAGGUCUCAUGUCACCUAGUGCAACAGUUCUCUGUUACACUACCUUGAGAUUCCUGCUUAGGAUAUGUAGUGAUGAUUCAUUACCAUAUAGAGCGCAUACUCACUCUGCUUACCUCCAUAACUACUGGGAGGGCAGCAUCACUCAGGAAAGUAGACAGGGACAGGGUUCACAAGCACCACCUGUGGCCAUGCCUGUACCCUGGUGAUUGGGAAACCUUUUGCACAUUCAAUCUGACCUUUGAACUUACUUUUACACUUUUUCCCCAUUGUUUGAACUUUGCAGAAAAACUGCUGUCUGUACUUAAGGUUUUCUUUAACUUUGCUAUGCAAAUUAUAUCAUCAGGGGAGUGCUGUCAUUCAUUGAAAGGCAGAUUCGAUUUGGUAGAUCUGGAAAGUGGCCAGGCAGAUUACUUUCCUAACAAAAUCAGUGCUGUUGCUGCUAUCAAUUUGAGUACUAAGUGGAGGACCUCCAGGGUCCCUUUUAGGUUUACCUAGUGAGAUGACUGUGAUUCACUUUUGACUUCUCCCCAGAGCUCAGCAAUUAGACCUUCAAGCCAGUGUGCUCUGGUUUAGAGCCAAAUCAAAGUCUAAGAUUCCUUACUAAGGAAACAGCUAAAAGACAAUACCCCUGGGUGUGAUUUAUCACAGCUGUGAUCCCAGCAUUUGAGAGGCUAAGGCAGGGGGAUUUUCAUGAGUUCCAGCCCGGUCUUGGCUACAUAGUGAGACUUUGUGUAAACAAAGAACCAGAAGAAAUAGAAAUAAUUUGGGUAUGGUAAUACACACCACUUUCCAGCACUUGGAAAACAGAAACAGAAGUUCAAGGCUACUGUUGUCAACAUAGUCAGUUUGAAUCCAGCCUGGAGUACAUGAAACUCUGUAUU